UGGGGAAUUUUGGACAAUGGGGGAAACCCUGAUCCAGCCAUCCCGCGUGUGCGAUGAAGGCCUUGGGGUUGUAAAGCACUUUUGGCAGGAAAGAAACGUCAUGGGUUAAUACCCCGUGAAACUGACGGUACCUGCAGAAUAAGCACCGGCUAACUACGUGCCAGCAGCCGCGGUAAUACGUAGGGUGCAAGCGUUAAUCGGAAUUACUGGGCGUAAAGCGUGCGCAGGCGGUUCGGAAAGAAAGAUGUGAAAUCCCAGAGCUCAACUUUGGAACUGCAUUUUUAACUACCGGGCUAGAGUGUGUCAGAGGGAGGUGGAAUUCCGCGUGUAGCAGUGAAAUGCGUAGAUAUGCGGAGGAACACCGAUGGCGAAGGCAGCCUCCUGGGAUAACACUGACGCUCAUGCACGAAAGCGUGGGGAGCAAACAGG
rnacentral:rRNA from 1 species